rnacentral:ncRNA from 1 species
AAAGGUUUGGUCCUGGCCUUAUAAUUAGUUGGAGGUAAAAUUACACAUGCAAAAAUCCGUAAACCAGUGUCAAAUCCCCUAAAACUUCAUAUACGAAACUUAGGGAGAGGGCAUCAAGCACAUACAAUUAUAGCUUAAGACGCCUUGCCUAGCCACGCCCCCACGGGACUCAGCAGUGAUAAAAAUUAAGCAAUGAACGAAAGUUUGACUUAGUUAUACCUCUGAAGGGUUGGUAAAUUUCGUGCCAGCCACCGCGGUCAUACGAUUAACCCAAAUUAAUUAUUAACCGGCGUAAAACGUGUCCACAGGAGUAAAAAAAAUAGAAUUAAAAACCAACCAAUAUGUGAAAAUUCAUCGUUGGAACUAAACUCAGUAACGAAAGUAAUUCUAAUCAACUUAAUACACGAUAGCUAAGAUCCAAACUGGGAUUAGAUACCCCACUAUGCUUAGCCCUAAACCUAAACAAUUAGAUAACAAAACUGUUUGCCUGAGAACUACUGGCCACCGCUUAAAACUCAAAGGACUUGGCGGUACUUUAUAUCCAUCUAGAGGAGCCUGUUCUAUAAUCGAUAUACCCCGUUAUACCUCACCAUCCCUUGCUAAUCCAGCCUAUAUACCGCCAUCUUCAGCAAACCUUAAAAAAGAACAAUAGUAAGCAAGAGAAUCUCCAUAAAAACGUUAGGUCAAGGUGUAGCCUAUGAGAUGGGAAGUAAUGGGCUACAUUUUCUUAAUAAGAACAUUACGAUACCCUUAUUGAAACAUAAGGAAAAAGGAGGAUUUAGUAGUAAAUUAAGAAUAGAGAGCUUAAUUGAAUAGCGCAAUGAAGUACGUACACACCGCCCGUCACCCUCCUCAAAUUAAACGAAUAACCCUAAAUUCAUAAUACAACAAAUAAGUUUAUGAGAGGAGACAAGUCGUAACAAGGUAAGCAUACUGGAAAGUGUGCUUGGAAUAAC